UACGUAGGGUGCAAGCGUUAAUCGGAAUUACUGGGCGUAAAGCGUGCGCAGGCGGUUAUGUAAGACAGGUGUGAAAUCCCCGGGCUUAACCUGGGAACUGCAUUUGUGACUGCAUAGCUAGAGUACGGUAGAGGGGGAUGGAAUUCCGCGUGUAGCAGUGAAAUGCGUAGAUAUCUGGAGGAAUACCGGUGGCGAAGGCGGCAUCCUGGACCGGCAUUGACGCUGAGGAGCGAAAGCCAGGGGAGCAAACGGG
rnacentral:rRNA from 1 species